ACUCCUACGGGAGGCAGCAGUGGGGAAUAUUGCACAAUGGGCGCAAGCCUGAUGCAGCCAUGCCGCGUGUAUGAAGAAGGCCUUCGGGUUGUAAAGUACUUUCAGCAGUGAGGAAGGUAGUGUAGUUAAUAGCUGCAUUAUUUGACGUUAGCUGCAGAAGAAGCACCGGCUAACUCCGUGCCAGCAGCCGCGGUAAUACGGAGGGUGCGAGCGUUAAUCGGAAUUACUGGGCGUAAAGCGCACGUAGGCGGAUCGGAAAGUUGGGGUGAAAUCCCGGGGCUCAACCCCGGAACGGCCUCCAAAACUAUCGGUCUAGAGUUCGAGAGAGGUGAGUGGAAUUCCGAGUGUAGAGGUGAAAUUCGUAGAUAUUCGGAGGAACACCAGUGGCGAAGGCGGCUCACUGGCUCGAUACUGACGCUGAGGUGCGAAAGUGUGGGAGCAAACAGGAUUAGAUACCUGGUAGGCUCUG
rnacentral:rRNA from 1 species